UUUGGAGCUUUAAAGGAAUUAAUAUUACAGUUAGAUUUAAACAGAGUUUUAGGGGCUGUUUGGUUGCAUGCAUUUCUAACUGCAUUGCAGUUGAAAAUGCAUGCAUCUAUUAAAUUUUUGUUUGAUUCGGUGUAGUUAGACUCAACUGCUGCAAUUGCAUCUAUACGAGAAGGCCCAACGCUGCAGUACCAACUGCAGCAGUUGGGCCAGAGUCAGCUCACGCGUUAAAAAAAAAAACAAAGUGUGAUUUUUUUUUCAUACGUUUCUUUUUUUUUUUAUUUUUUUCCUAAAUACCUACUAAUGAAAUCUGAUAGGUUUAAUAAUUUUUUUCAUAUUCUUCUUUUUUUUUCAGUAUGCUAGUUUAAUAAUAUCUUAAUUUUUAUUUUUGACCAAAUCUAUAAUAUAUUUGCAUUUAAAAUUUAUUAAAUUCAUACAUAAUUUUAUAAUAUAUAAAUUAUAUAUAGAUAUAAAAGUCUUAAUUAAUAAUUAAAACAUAAUUACGUUAUGCAAGAGAUAUUUUCAUAUUUCUAUCUAAAAAUUGACAUAACUUAUAAAUACAAAUCUCAACUGCAGACUACCAAACAGAAAAAAUAUAACUGCAGCAGUUGCAACUGUAUAAAACUAAACAGACUAGAUACAUUUAUAACUGCAAUAUUUACAACUACACGUACUUUUAACUACACUGUUAUUAUAACUAUAUCAAAUCAAACGGCCCCUUAGUUGUUUAUAGCCAGGGAAACAAAUU
rnacentral:lncRNA from 1 species